GAUGAAGAACGCAGCAAAAUGCGAUAAGUAAUGUGAAUUGCAGAAUUCAGUGAAUCAUCGAAUCUUUGAACGCACAUUGCGCCCGCCAGUAUUCUGGCGGGCAUGCCUGUUCGAGCGUCAUUUCAACCCUCAAGCACAGCUUGGUGUUGGGACUCGCGUUAAUUCGCGUUCCCCAAAUUGAUUGGCGGUCACGUCGAGCUUCCAUAGCGUAGUAGUAAAACCCUCGUUACUGGUAAUCGUCGCGGCCACGCCGUUAAACCCCAACUUCUGAAUGUUGACCUCGGAUCAGGUAGGAAGACCCGCUGAACUUAAGCAUAUCAAUAAGCGGAGGA
rnacentral:misc_RNA from 1 species